UGGGGAAUUUUGGACAAUGGGGGCAACCCUGAUCCAGCAAUGCCGCGUGUGUGAAGAAGGCCUUCGGGUUGUAAAGCACUUUUGUCCGGAAAGAAAACGCCGUGGUUAAUACCCGUGGCGGAUGACGGUACCGGAAGAAUAAGCACCGGCUAACUACGUGCCAGCAGCCGCGGUAAUACGUAGGGUGCAAGCGUUAAUCGGAAUUACUGGGCGUAAAGCGUGCGCAGGCGGUCCGCUAAGACAGAUGUGAAAUCCCCGGGCUUAACCUGGGAACUGCAUUUGUGACUGGCGGGCUAGAGUAUGGCAGAGGGGGGUAGAAUUCCACGUGUAGCAGUGAAAUGCGUAGAGAUGUGGAGGAAUACCGAUGGCGAAGGCAGCCCCCUGGGCCAAUACUGACGCUCAUGCACGAAAGCGUGGGGAGCAAACAGGAUUAGAUACCCUGGUAGUCCACGCCCUAAACGAUGUCAACUAGUUGUCGGGUCUUCAUUGACUUGGUAACGUAGCUAACGCGUGAAGUUGACCGCCUGGGGAGUACGGUCGCAAGAUUAAAACUCAAAUUGAAUUGACGGGGGUCAUAGCUG
rnacentral:rRNA from 1 species